UGUGGGAGCGAGCUUGCUCGCGAUAGCUUUCUGUCAGUCAACAUAUGUGUCGACUGAUACGCCGCCAUCGCGAGCAAGCUCGCUCCCACA
rnacentral:antisense_RNA from 2 species